GGACUGUCGAGACUCUUUUCUCCCCAAGGGAUGACAUCACUGCUGGACAAAGCGCAAGGAGUGGUUUCUGUGAAGAGAACCGUCCCAAAUCAAUGGAACAUACCCCCACACUCUGAAAACACAUCCUAUAGCGUUAUCCACCGUCAAAACAAUCUGUUAUCGUGCCGGGCAGCAGUUCUAGUAACGUGCGUUUGUUGUAAGAGGAAUGAACUACUCUGGAAAAUAACAACGGCUGUGCUGGUCAAAGAAAAGAUUCACCGCCGCUGGAUGGUUGGUGGUUUCUAAGUUUCGCCCUCCUAACAUGCUCUGUGUCUGAAGAAGUUGACCUGCGGUUCCAAUCCACCCUGGUAUACCAUGCUGUCCCUCCUGCUGCCCGCAAUGCUGGCCGUCCAAACUAUGGCUGUGUUGGAAUUGACCGUCCCGGAGCAGCCAGUGGUGGCGCUGCACGGCAGUGAUGCCACACUCAACUGCUCCUUCAGCCACGCCAACCCCUUCAACUUGUCAGAUCUGAGCGUCUUCUGGCAGCUGACAGACACCAAACGCAGUGUGCAUGAGUACUCGGGGGGUCGCGACCAGCUGGUGGACCAGGCCGAGAGCUUCGUCAACCGUACCAGCCUGUUCCCCGCCCAGCUGGGCCUGGGCAACGCUUCGCUCCUGCUGAGCAGGGUGGUGGUGGCCGAUGAAGGCAGCUAUACCUGCUUCGCCAGGGUGCAAGACUACGGCAGUGCUUCUUUGCUGCUGCAGGUGGCCGCCCCCUACUCCAAGCCAGUAGUGACUUUGGCACCUGAAUCCAACCUGCGACCAGGAGAUGAGGUGGCCCUGACUUGUGUGGCCUACGGUGGUUAUCCUGAAGCUGGCGUGGUAUGGCAGGACGGGGGCGGGCGCAACCUGACGGACAAUAUCACCACUUCAUUGGUGGCCAAUGAGGAAGGGCUAUUCUCUAUGACCAGCGUGCUGACAGUUGUGCUGGAGCCCAAUAGCACCUACAGCUGUGGACUGAUCAAUCCACUACUGGGCAAGGAGGGCUAUGCCUUUGUCACAAUCACAGGUCAGAACAUUGCGUUCCCCCCGGUGGCUCUGUGGGUAACCGUUGGCCUGGCCGUGUGUCUGCUGGUGCUGCUCAUUGCCCUGGCUGCUGUCUGCCGCAGGAAGAUCAAGGAGAGCUGUGAGGAGGCCAGGAGAGAAGCUGAAGAGGCCAAGGAACUGGAAGAAGAGGAGUCAAAGACAGCCAUGACACUACUGAAAAGCUAAGGCCAAGAGAAUAAAUACAUGCAGUGCCAUGGACAGUUCAACUUCUCACACAGUAGAAGAAGGUGGUUAGGAAGGAGUCAAGGCCAGACGGCGGGUAGGAGAUGAGUCUGGCGGGUAAUCCCACUCCACCUAUCCAUCAACCUGGCGACUAUUUCCAGCGUCCCCUACAGAAUGUCAAAGCCUCGCUGAGCAGAAGAUGAGUCCAUCAUCUUCUUUCUAAGACUUUCCCUCGAGUUUUCAUCAAAAACACAUAAACACAUCAUGUGCCAUUAUUUUUCUAUUGCCCUCCCGUUCCGUUUCUGUCAGUGGAGGGCCGCGGCAGUGAGUGAACACAGUUGAGUGAGUUGUUCUAUGCAAAAGAGAAGCUCUGUUUGAAAAGUACAGGAUGUGACAGGAUCCUUUCUCUGUCGCUGACAUCACUCUGUAUGGGUUGUGAUGGGGCAUGUGCCAGAGAUCUCCUGUCUAAUAGGAAGUGAGACACUUAAAGAGAUGACCCUGCCUUAGUUGCCAUCACUGUCUCUCUGCCAGGGAGGGAGCUUGGCUCUCCCAUUACUCCUGCACUUGCUAAUUAGCGUCUGUCGCUGAAGUAACUUGUACCUGUCAGUGUGCGCCGCUCUCCUAUAUUCAGUAACUUGAGGGAAUUGAAAUUGAAUGCCAGCUAAGCUCCGACAAACUGCAAAUGGUGCAUGGGAUACACCCUGAUUUUCUCACUGACCUGACAGCCUUAUAUGUAAGAAAUUGUUUUUAAUGAACACAGAGUAUCUCGGCUAGUUUCUACUGCCAGUGUGGAAUGUUUUAUCUCUCCCAGACUAGGGGCAUUUUUUUUUUAUUGCAUUUCUUUAGGUACUUGAGCAAGUCCAUGCGCCAUAUGUCCAUGUAUGAGUGCCAAAACCAUUUGUGUCAGAUAGCCCAGUGCCUAUUUACAUUAAAGAGACAUGGUGAAACUG